ACGUUAGCGGCGGACGGGUGAGUAACACGUGGGUAACCUACCUAUAAGACUGGGAUAACUUCGGGAAACCGGAGCUAAUACCGGAUAAUAUUUCGAACCGCAUGGUUCGAUAGUGAAAGAUGGUUUUGCUAUCACUUAUAGAUGGACCCGCGCCGUAUUAGCUAGUUGGUAAGGUAACGGCUUACCAAGGCGACGAUACGUAGCCGACCUGAGAGGGUGAUCGGCCACACUGGGACUGAGACACGGUCCAGACUCCUACGGGAGGCAGCAGCG
rnacentral:rRNA from 1 species